rnacentral:rRNA from 1 species
GACGAACGCUGGCGGCGUGCUUAACACAUGCAAGUCGAACGAUGAAGCCCAGCUUGCUGGGUGGAUUAGUGGCGAACGGGUGAGUAACACGUGAGCAAUCUGCCCCUGACUCUGGGAUAAGCGCUGGAAACGGCGUCUAAUACCGGAUACGAACCGCCAUCGCAUGGUGAGCGGGUGGAAAGAUUUUUCGGUCUGGGAUGUGCUCGCGGCCUCUCAGCUUGUUGGUGAGGUAAUGGCUCACCAAGGCGUAGACGUGUAGCCGGCCUGAGAGGGUGAUAGGCCACACUGGGACUGAGACACGGCUCAGACUCCUACGGGAGGCAGCAGUGGGGAAUAUUGUACAAUGGGCGGAAGCCUGAUGCAGCAACGCCGCGUGAGGGAUGACGGCCUUCGGGUUGUAAACCUCUUUUAGCAGGGAAGAAGCGAAAGUGACGGUACCUGCAGAAAAAGCGCCGGCUAACUACGUGCCAGCAGCCGCGGUAA